rnacentral:rRNA from 1 species
GACGAACGCUGGCGGCGUGCUUAACACAUGCAAGUCGAACGGAAAGGCCCUUCGGGGUACUCGAGUGGCGAACGGGUGAGUCACACGUGGGUGAUCUGCCCUGCACUUUGGGAUAAGCCUGGGAAACUGGGUCUAAUACCGAAUAGGACCGCGCGCUUCAUGGUGUGUGGUGGAAAGCUUUUGCGGUGUGGGAUGGGCCCGCGGCCUAUCAGCUUGUUGGUGGGGUAAUGGCCUACCAAGGCGACGACGGGUAGCCGGCCUGAGAGGGUGACCGGCCACACUGGGACUGAGAUACGGCCCAGACUCCUACGGGAGGCAGCAGUGGGGAAUAUUGCACAAUGGGCGCAAGCCUGAUGCAGCGACGCCGCGUGAGGGAUGACGGCCUUCGGGUUGUAAACCUCUUUCACCAGGGACGAAGCGCAAGUGACGGUACCUGGAGAAGAAGCACCGGCCAACUACGUG